CGGUACGUGGCGAGGUAGCAGCACAAAAUUCCGCUCUUCAGAAAACGCAAUACUUUGGUGCUAACACAUUUUUUUGUAUAUAAAAAACUUGGCUGCAUGGAUGCAACUGUAUGAACAUCUCAAGUAUCGGUAAGAAAAUUUGUGCAAAGAAUUUCAUAGAAAUUGCUUUUUCUAACAAAUUUAAUAUAGUUUGUCGACUUUGCUACAUUUGCCACUGGAGUUGCCAUAACGCAACGUCAUAAAUACCAAGAACAAUAGAGAAUAAAGGAAAACAGAUAGCAACCGUCCGAAGAAAACCAAAUGGACGAUAUAACCGAAAUAUUCGAUCUACAAAAUAUUAAGUAUUAUCUAGGAAAAGCUGAUCAGAUCGAUACAAAAACGGCAAUGAUUGGAAUAUUGAAUACUUUACUUCAUCUCAACGAACUAAUCGAAAUAAUCAAGACAGAUGUUAAGAAAAUAGAAAAUGACAGAACAUGAAGAGCUGUUAAAUGACAUCCAAAUCAACAGCAAAGUAGUAGAAGAAACUGUAGAAAGUACAGGAAAAAUAGUUAACACUGCGUUAAACCAUUGUAAUAGAAACACGGACUCAAUUGAGAACACUCCUGGCCAUAGAAAUUAGGGAUGUCAACGAGUACUCUAGUACUCGAGUAUCGCUCGAUAUUAUCGAGUAUCGAAUACCAAAAUGAUACUCGACUAAUCGGUCUGCUGUAAGAAUGUUGUUGCUUUCUUAAGCUUAAACAAAAAAAUAUUUUUAUUGAGAGCUCAUCCCGGG
rnacentral:lncRNA from 1 species